rnacentral:rRNA from 1 species
GUGUCAGCCGCCGCGGUAAUACGGAGGGUGCGAGCGUUGUCCGGAUUUAUUGGGUUUAAAGGGUGCGUAGGUGGCUUUAUAAGUCAGUGGUGAAAUACAGCCGCUCAACGGUUGAGGUGCCAUUGAUACUGUAGAGCUUGAAACAAUUGGAGGCUGCCGGAAUGGAUGGUGUAGCGGUGAAAUGCAUAGAUAUCAUCCAGAACACCGAUUGCGAAGGCAGGUGGCUACGUUUGAUUUGACACUGAGGCACGAAAGCAUGGGGAGCAAACAGGAUUAGAUACCCUGGUAGUCC